AUUUUUGAACUUUGCUCUGUACGUAGGGUCCAAGGAAACUGAUGAAAAGGCUGAUGAGGUUCUAAAGUAGGAUAUUUUGGAUUGUUGGACGCCAGAAAAUCACUAUGGAUGGACUGAAUCUAAGUGUUAAACAUUUCUAAAUUUAGACCAUCUAUAGUGAUUUUCUAGAGUCCAAUAAUCCAAGAUAUCCAACUUUAGAACCUCAUCAGCCUUUUCAUCAGUUUCCUUAGACCCUACCUCUGAGGUCCACGAAAAUGGAGGUGUAUCAUAAGAAGUCGGGUAGGUGUAUUCAAUCGAUAAGUUUUGGUGGGGAAGGAGUUGGAGCUAGCGUUAUUGCUGAUGAGGAAGUUGGGAGUGGGAAACUUGUUGCUGUUGGAACACCCAACAAGGUUAUUUGCUAUCGUAAAUUACCUUCUGAAGAACAAAUCAAAGACGUUUUGAGAAAGAAGAACUUUAAAGAAGCCAUUGCCUUGGUGGAGGAACUUGAGUGUGAUGCUGAAUUGUCAAAGGAUAUGCUCUCCUUUGUUCAUGCUCAAGUGGGGUUUCUAUUGCUGUUUAACCUGCAUUUUGAGGAAGCAGUAAAUCACUUUUUGCUGUCAGAGACAAUGCAGCCUUCUGAAAGAUAAAGGUACCUCCAGUGGUUGAUUGAAGAUCAGGACUGUGAUGAUACUCAAUUCCAUACAUUAUAUGCUCUAUCACUUGCCAAAUCAGCAAUUGAAGCCUUUCAAACUGAAAAUACUUAUCAAAACAGUGACAUUGGAAGGGUAGAUGAGACAGUAAUUUCUGAUAAUAGAAUGAACUCGAUCUUUGAAAGUCCUCUUCGAGAAAGACUGCAGAUAUUUUUGUCGUCUUCAGACUUGUAUGAUCCAGAGGAAGUUCUUUACUUGAUCGAAGGAUCGGAGUUAUGGUUGGAAAAGGUCCAUUGGAACUCUUAUAAUUACUUUGUUGUUGGUUCUGCCUAUUGACUUGGCUGACUCUUCUGAUUAUGCAAUUCUUUACAGUAAACUGGGUCAAGAGGGAUUAGUGCUCCAAAUUUUGGCAUUGAAAAUUUGCGUGUAACACACCUGAGGGCACAAUACUUGUGUCCUGCACUCAGAAGAUUUGAAUAAAAGAAUUUACCCUGUUCUGUCUUAUAUGGAGCCAAUGGCAGGAGAUAAGUUUUAGGAAUCAGCACUGAAGAAAAUGAAGAUGAAGUGACUGAAAAUGAAGAAAAUUCGGGUUCUGCUUCUACUUCUGCCAGUACUGAAGAAAGUAUUGAACUUUCACCAGCAAGAGCAAGACCUCAAAGGGUGAACCGUGCACAAACAAGACUCAUGUGUUCAUUUCUCCAAGCAAGUUGAGGGUGAAGCUCAUAGGGCCUCACCAUCUUAGAAAGAAGGAUGGAUCAAACAGUAACUCUUCUAGACACAAUUUGGUUUGCUGAGGAAGGUAGUGCAUAAGCCAUGGUUCUUGACAGCAUUCUAUCUUCUCCUCAUCGUAGGUCACCAUCAUUCAGGAAGCAAUUCUCGCGGGAUGAUUCAUUAAGCUGGCCAACACUCCUUCAAAGGCACCGCUUCCUCUUAAUAGCUCUAAUUCUCCUAGCUUUCCUAUGCACUAUGUAUCUUUAUUUUGCUGUCACUUUAGGUGCUUCUGGAUCAUGUUCUGAUUUAAAGGGUGCUCAGAAAGCGUCAGGUUUGGAUGCAAAAGCUUCUGUGGGCAAUGGAAAAUUGAAAUUCCUUUGACAUGUAGAUGAUAAUUAUAGUUGGAAAGCAUUUCCGUCCUUGGUUCUUUUCGAUUCUAAGGAGAUUGAAUUUAACCAUACUUUUAAAAUUGCAAUAGGUUGUUUGCUGUUUUUGAACUCAAUUGUCCUGAAUCUUAUAUAUGAGAAAUGUAACAAAAUUUUCAUUUGGAGACUAUAUAGCAAAAAUUUGAUUUGGA